rnacentral:rRNA from 1 species
UUGAACGCUGGCGGCAGGCCUAACACAUGCAAGUCGAGCGGAUGAAGGGAGCUUGCUCCUGGAUUCAGCGGCGGACGGGUGAGUAAUGCCUAGGAAUCUACCUGGUAGUGGGGGAUAACGUCCGGAAACGGGCGCUAAUACCGCAUACGUCCUGAGGGAGAAAGUGGGGGAUCUUCGGACCUCACGCUAUCAGAUGAGCCUAGGUCGGAUUAGCUAGUUGGUGGGGUAAAGGCCUACCAAGGCGACGAUCCGUAACU